rnacentral:misc_RNA from 1 species
UAAAAUUCCUGGAAGGCGGUUUCCAGUUGAGAUACACUAUACGAAAGCUCCAGAGGCUGAUUACUUGGACGCUGCAGUAGUCACCGCUCUUCAGAUCCAUGUAACUCAACCCCCAGGUGAUGGUGACAUAUUAAUCUUUUUGACUGGGCAGGAGGAGAUUGAAACAGCAGAGGAGAUCAUUAAGCACCGGAUAAAAGGCCUGGGGACAAAAAUUGCUGAGCUGAUAAUUUGCCCAAUAUAUGCAAAUUUGCCAACAGAAUUACAAGCCAAGAUAUUUGAGCCCACUCCUGAAGGUGCUCGUAAGGUUGUCCUGGCUACAAAUAUUGCUGAAACAUCAUUGACAAUUGAUGGGAUUAAGUAUGUUAUUG